GGAAGAGCGAGCCGCCGUCCGGCGGGGCCCUGCCCAGGCAGGGCGCUUGGAGGUGAAGGACGAGGAGCCAGAAGGAGACCUGUGCCGCCCGGCUCCGCGGCACACAUGACAUGCUAAUGGAAGGACACAGAUCCUGUAAAAGAGGAUGAUUUUGUGCAAUAUUGAUAUGCAACAACACUUGCCAAGAGAAGAUUUGUUCAUUGCGAAGUGUAGCCAGUUCCCUUACCUGCCUCUAAAACUUAUUCUCUGAGAUGAAGCGUGAUGAAAGAAAAAGACAGACCACCCAAGACUGAGAAGGAAUUUGUCUGGUGGUCAGAAUACAAGCAAAAAACCUGGACAAGCAUUUCACGUGCAGCCCUGUGUUCAAAAUCCACUAGCAGUGUUCCUGUCAGCACUCCUGUGGACUGGCUGAUACUUUUACAGGGUCACUGCAGAUAGAAACCGAAGUGAUGAGUGGACUGCUGGCAACAAGUGGCACACACGGCCAUGCGUUUGCAGGAAUUUCAAUACAAUAAAUCAGUUUAAAGACUAUGGAGAAACAAGGUACUUGUUAAAUCUUUCCUUAAUGUGCCCCAGACGGCUGAUUCACAGUGCUUUAUUUAGGUGUAUUUAGCAUCUGUUUCGUUUUCGAAAUGCGCACUUAUUUUGAUUUAUCUAAGAGCGGAAUGGGAGAAGGAAAGCCUCGGUUCCG